UGUGUGACGAGACAUCAGUGGCUGUGACUGAAUGCAGUGUGAAUCCUUCCUCAUCAGUGAAACAGAAAGAAUUGUGUGACGAGACAUCAGUGGCUGUGACUGAAUGCAGUGUGAAUCCUUCCUCAUCAGUGAAACAGAAAG